AGAGUUUGAUCCUGGCUCAGGAUGAACGCUGGCGGCGUGCUUAACACAUGCAAGUCGAACGAGCCUUCGGGCUAGUGGCGGACGGGUGAGUAACGCGUGGGAAUCUGCCCUCAGGAGGGGGAUAACGGCCGGAAACGGCCGCUAAUACCCCAUAUGCCGAGAGGUGAAAUGAAUUUCGCCUGAGGAUGAGCCCGCGUCUGAUUAGCUAGUUGGUGGGGUAAUGGCCCACCAAGGCGACGAUCAGUAGCUGGUCUGAGAGGAUGAUCAGCCACACUGGGACUGAGACACGGCCCAGACUCCUACGGGAGGCAGCAGUGGGGAAUUUUCCGCAAUGGGCGAAAGCCUGACGGAGCAACGCCGCGUGAGGGAUGAAGGCCUCUGGGCUGUAAACCUCUUUUCUCAAGGAAGAAGACAUGACGGUACUUGAGGAAUAAGCCACGGCUAAUUCCGUGCCAGCAGCCGCGGUAAUACGGGAGUGGCAAGCGUUAUCCGGAAUUAUUGGGCGUAAAGCGUCCGCAGGCGGCCUUGUAAGUCUGUCGUUAAAGCGUGGAGCUUAACUCCAUUUCAGCGAUGGAAACUACAAGGCUUGAGUGUGGUAGGGGCAGAGGGAAUUCCCGGUGUAGCGGUGAAAUGCGUAGAUAUCGGGAAGAACACCAGUGGCGAAGGCGCUCUGCUGGGCCAUAACUGACGCUCAUGGACGAAAGCCAGGGGAGCGAAAGGGAUUAGAUACCCCUGUAGUCCUGGCCGUAAACGAUGAACACUAGGUGUCGGGGGAAUCGACCCCCUCGGUGUCGUAGCUAACGCGUUAAGUGUUCCGCCUGGGGAGUACGCACGCAAGUGUGAAACUCAAAGGAAUUGACGGGGGCCCGCACAAGCGGUGGAGUAUGUGGUUUAAUUCGAUGCAACGCGAAGAACCUUACCAGGGUUUGACAUCCUGCGAAUCCCUUGGAAACGAGGGAGUGCCUUCGGGAGCGCAGAGACAGGUGGUGCAUGGCUGUCGUCAGCUCGUGUCGUGAGAUGUUGGGUUAAGUCCCGCAACGAGCGCAACCCACGUCUUUAGUUGCCAGCAUUCAGUUGGGCACUCUAGAGAGACCGCCGGUGAUAAACCGGAGGAAGGUGUGGAUGACGUCAAGUCAUCAUGCCCCUUACAUCCUGGGCUACACACGUACUACAAUGCUACGGACAAAGGGUUGCAAGCUCGCGAGAGUUAGCUAAUCCCAUAAACCGUGGCUCAGUUCAGAUCGUAGGCUGCAACUCGCCUACGUGAAGGAGGAAUCGCUAGUAAUCGCAGGUCAGCAUACUGCGGUGAAUACGUUCCCGGGCCUUGUACACACCGCCCGUCACACCAUGGAAGUUGGCCAUGCCCGAAGUCGUUACUCCAACCCUUGUGGAGGAGGACGCCG
rnacentral:rRNA from 1 species